rnacentral:rRNA from 1 species
GACGUAGGGUCCGAGCGUUGUCCGGAGUUACUGGGCGUAAAGCGCUUGUAGGCGGUCCACCAAGUUUGGGGUGACAGUUGCCGACUUAAUCGGCAAAGUGCCUCAAAGACUGGCGGACUUGAGGGCCACAGAGGGACAUGGAACUCCAGGUGUAGUGGUGAAAUGCGUAGAUAUCUGGAAGAACACCAAAGGCGAAGGCAGUGUCCUGGGUGGUCGCUGACGCUGAGAGGCGAAAGCCAGGGGAGCGAACGGG